CCUAAUAAAAAUCUUUAUUAUAACAAGAAAGAAACUGACUUAUAUGUUGAUAACAAUAGCAUUAGGCUACUACUGCCUAUAUCGUACCUAUAUUUUGAGUUUUCUGUGGAGAACGAAUGGCUCAAGUUAAUGAAGCUAAUGAAAUAUCAAAAACCUACAAAAAAUAAAAAUGCCAUUUAUGUCUGCCUGUCACCACAUAGAAAGCUUUCCGAAAGACACAACUCCUUGGUAAGUAGUUCCUCACUUUACUUGAUUAUUGGUUUAUAUAGUGUCCCAAAAAGGAUGUUAAGUUUUUAGAAUUACUGUGAAGGUAGUGAUUUCAAUGUUUUAAUGU